GUGAAUCAUCGAAUCUUUGAACGCAUAUUGCGCUCUCUGGUAUUCCGGAGAGCAUGCUUGUUUGAGUAUCAGUAAACACCUCAACUCCCUUUCUUCUUGAAAUGGAGCUGGACUUGAGUGAUCCCAACGCUUUAUUCAUAAAGUGGCGGGUUACUUGAAAUGCAGGUGCAGCUGGACUUUUCUCUGAGCUAUAAGCAUAUCUAUUUAGUCUGCCUCAAAACAGAUUAUUACCUUUGCUGCAGCUAACAUAAAGGAGAUUAGUUCUUGUGCUGACUGAUGCAGGAUUCACAAAGACCGCUU
rnacentral:misc_RNA from 1 species